rnacentral:rRNA from 1 species
GUAGGUGGCAAGCGUUGUCCGGAAUUAUUGGGCGUAAAGCGCGCGCAGGCGGUUCUUUAAGUCUGAUGUGAAGGGCCCACGGGCUCAACCGUGGAGGGUCAUUGGAAACUGGAGAACUUGAGUACAGAAGAGGAAAGCGGAAUUCCACGUGUAGCGGUGAAAUGCGUAGAGAUGUGGAGGAACACCAGUGGCGAAGGCGGCUUUCUGGUCUGUAACUGACGCUGAGGCGCGAAAGCGUGGGGAGCAAACAGGAUUAGAUACCCUGGUAGUCCACGCCGUAAACGAUGAGUGCUAAGUGUUAGGGGGUUUCCGCCCCUUAGUGCUGCAGCUAACGCAUUAAGCACUCCGCCUGGGGAGUACGGCCGCAAAGGCUG